rnacentral:rRNA from 1 species
UUUGGUGACGAUAGCGGCAGGGAAACACCCGUUCCCAUUCCGAAUACGGCAGUUAAGCCUGCCAGCGCCGAUGAUACUGCACGGGCAACUGUGUUGGAAAGUAGGACGUCGCCAUCA